AAUGUUCUGUUACAAGCAUUUUUUAAAAAAUUGUUUUAAAGUUUAUGCAUAGAUAUUGAAAUUAUCUUUUAAUGGUAUAUAAAUGUAUAGUUUAAUUAUGCAUAAAAAGAUAUUAAUUUUCUACACAUGUCUUUAGAAAAAAUUAAAUGGUACAAAAUAAUAAGAGAAUCUCUCUGUCUCUGUAUUCUCUCACUACAAUCUCUUACAAAGAGAAAUGAGAAGAGAUUAACAGUCUUGUUUUUUUGUUCUUCUGACUGAUCAGAGCUUUUUGUUUGGCAAAACCGACUUAUUCUAAAUAGCGGAUUUCUCUUCGUUUUGACUACCUUUUUGUUGUGUUUCCCAAACCAAAAUCUAUUCUGAUUUUCAUGUUUUACUUCAGCGAUUUUUGUUUGAGUAAAUAAACAUCUAUGAAUAUUUGAAAGAAUUUCUUGUUUCAUUGAUCAUCUUAACCAUUUUUGUAGGAGAAUUAGACUUCACUUUCUAUUAGACGUCUAUGAAUUUUCCGGUGAAGCAUAUCCGAUUGAGAAAGAGUCACAGCUAAGGUGGAAAUCAUCUCAAGGAAGUACACGAUUAAGCGUUUUGAGCUUAUGAUGGUUGAACAGAAAAAGCUCUGCCGGAGGAUUUCAUCUGCAUCAGCGAUGAGAUGAGUCGUGUCUUGCACAAAGCCUAGAUGAGUGCCAUGUAGCCUGAAUAUGUUGAAUGCCUAACAUGUAUGACCUUAGAUCUGUAAAUUUUUAUUUUAAACCGGUCAUAUGUUUGGGUGUCUGGUAAACCUUAAAUUUCUUUUUUUUUGUCAUGAAAUCUUAAGUUUCUUAACCAUGUAUUUCAAGAGGUUUAAUGUGAUUUGGUAACAAAAUAAAUAAAUAAAAUGGUAGUGAGAGUACCA